CGAGUCUUAACUGGGCGAAUGAGUUGCAGGGUAUAGACCCGAAACCCGGUGAUCUAUCCAUGGGCAGGUUGAAGGUUGGGUAACACUAACUGGAGGACCGAACCGACUAAUGUUGAAAAAUUAGCGGAUGACUUGUGGAUGGGGGUGAAAGGCCAAUCAAACCGGGAGAUAGCUGGUUCUCCCCGAAAGCUAUUUAGGUAGCGCCUCGUGAACUCAUCUUCGGGGGUAGAGCACUGUUUCGACUAGGGGGUCAUCCCGACUUACCAACUCGAUGCAAACUGCGAAUACCGAAGAAUGUUAUCACGGGAGACACACGGCGGGUGCUAACGUCCGUCGUGAAGAGGGAAACAACCCAGACCGCCAGCUAAGGUCCCAAAGUCAUGGUUAAGUGGGAAACGAAGUGGGAAGGCUCAGACAGCCAGGAUGUUGGCUUAGAAGCAGCCAUCAUUUAAAGAAAGCGUAAUAGC
rnacentral:rRNA from 1 species